rnacentral:rRNA from 1 species
GUGAGGGCCCUCUGGGUCCAACCUCCCACCCGUGUUUAUUUUACCUUGUUGCUUCGGCGGGCCCGCCUUAACUGGCCGCCGGGGGGCUUACGCCCCCGGGCCCGCGCCCGCCGAAGACACCCUCGAACUCUGUCUGAAGAUUGUAGUCUGAGUGAAAAUAUAAAUUAUUUAAAACUUUCAACAACGGAUCUCUUGGUUCCGGCAUCGAUGAAGAACGCAGCGAAAUGCGAUACGUAAUGUGAAUUGCAAAUUCAGUGAAUCAUCGAGUCUUUGAACGCACAUUGCGCCCCCUGGUAUUCCGGGGGGCAUGCCUGUCCGAGCGUCAUUUCUGCCCUCAAGCACGGCUUGUGUGUUGGGCCCCGUCCUCCGAUCCCGGGGGACGGGCCCGAAAGGCAGCGGCGGCACCGCGUCCGGUCCUCGAGCGUAUGGGGCUUUGUCACCCGCUCUGUAGGCCCGGCCGGCGCUUGCCGAUCAACCCAAAUUUUUAUCCAGGUUGACCUCGGAUCAGGUAGGGAUACCCGCUGAACUUAAGCAUAUCAAUA